rnacentral:rRNA from 1 species
UACGGAGGGGGCUAGCGUUGUUCGGAAUUACUGGGCGUAAAGCGCGCGUAGGCGGACCUGCAAGUCGGGGGUGAAAGCCCGAGGCUCAACCUCGGAACUGCCUUCGAUACUGCGGGUCUCGAGUCCGGGAGAGGUGAGUGGAAUUCCUAGUGUAGAGGUGAAAUUCGUAGAUAUUAGGAAGAACACCAGUGGCGAAGGCGGCUCACUGGCCCGGUACUGACGCUGAGGAACGAAAGCGUGGGGAGCGAACAGG